rnacentral:rRNA from 1 species
GAUCAUGGCUCAGGAUGAACGCUAGCUACAGGCUUAACACAUGCAAGUCGAGGGGCAGCAUGAACUUAGCUCGCUAAGUUUGAUGGCGACCGGCGCACGGGUGAGUAACACGUGUCCAACCUUCCGUUUACUCAGGGAUAGCCUUUCGAAAGAAAGAUUAAUACCUGAUAGUAUGGUGAGAUUGCAUGAUAGCACCAUUAAAGAUUUAUUGGUAAACGAUGGGGAUGCGUU